GUGACGCCGUGCUGCACGGUCCGGCUGUUCAUGGAGUUGGCAGCCAGGACAAUGGCCUGGUACCUGUCAAUGCUGAUGAUGGUGAUGAAGAAUAUGCCUCCAAAGAAGCCCACAAAGAAAAAGGCGGUGGGCUGUUCUGAGGUGCGUGCCUGGCAACCUGCGUUGCACGCAGCGGGCACUUAAUAAAUGCGUGGAGUGAGGAGACAGAGGCCUUUGGACUUCAGGAAUCAUCCAGGCUGCCUGUGGACUGCACUGUUUGUAUAGUUCCCUCCCACCCUAGGCAUGUGGGCAUUUGGUCUCUAAAGGUUGUUUCAUUUCUUUUCCCCUGAAAUAUAAGUUUUCUUAUCAGA